rnacentral:rRNA from 1 species
AGCGAACGCUGGCGGCAGGCCUAACACAUGCAAGUCGAGCGCCCCUCAAGGGGAGCGGCAGACGGGAGAGUAACACGUGGGAACGUACCCUUUGGUUCGGAACAACCCAGGGAAACUUGGGCUAAUACCGAAUAAGCCCUUACGGGGAAAGAUUUAUCGCCGAAGGAUCGGCCCGCGUCUGAUUAGCGAGUUGGUGAGGUAACGGCUCACCAAGGCGACGAUCAGUAGCUGGUCUGAGAGGAUGAUCAGCCUCACUGGGACUGAGACACGGCCCAGACUCCUACGGGAGGCAGCAGUGGGGAAUAUUGGACAAUGGGCGCAAGCCUGAUCCAGCCAUGCCGCGUGGGUGAUGAAGGCCCUAGGGUUGUAAAGCCCUUUCGGCGGGGAAGAUAAUGACGGUACCCGCAGAAGAAGCCCCGGCUAACUUCGUGCCAGCAGCCGCAGUAA